rnacentral:lncRNA from 12 species
ACCCUGCAUCCCCCACCCCUGCUCAGCAGAAGUUGAGCAGCCUUCUUAUCGUUGAACAAGAGUGGGCAGGGUGGUUCAGAUCACCAAGACAGCUGUAUGCAGUGGGAAGAAGCAGCCCAGGAAUGCUCUCACCCCUACCACCUGCAUGUGGAGGAUGUCACUAGCAUGCCAGUAGACAAGUCAGACGAUAAUCCUCAACCGACCACAAUGUUGGGGCCCCAGUCCCAGUCUUCUGACUGGCAAGUCCCAUUCCGGGCUGUAAUCCACCAAGCCUCUGGCAGUAUCCAGCUCUGCUCUUCACAUUUUCAGCCUAGGGAGGAGAUCUCCUUCAGGUAAGAGAAG